CUGGUGUGUGUCUUGCUUUUUCUCAAGCAGAGAGGACGCAUACACCUCUGCACCCUUGAACGCAGAUCGAGACAGAAAUAUGAAGCUCCCAGCCAGCAAGCAGCAG